AUUGAACGCUGGCGGCAUGCCUUACACAUGCAAGUCGAACGGCAGCACGGGAGCAAUCCUGGUGGCGAGUGGCGAACGGGUGAGUAAAGUAUCGGAACGUGCCCAGUCGUGGGGGAUAACGUAGCGAAAGUUACGCUAAUACCGCAUACGAUCUAUGGAUGAAAGCGGGGGAUCGCAAGACCUCGCGCGAUUGGAGCGGCCGAUAUCAGAUUAGGUAGUUGGUGGGGUAAAGGCUCACCAAGCCGACGAUCUGUAGCUGGUCUGAGAGGACGACCAGCCGAACUGAGACUGGGACACGGCCCAGACUACUACGGGAAGCGGCAGUGGGCAAUUCUGUACAAUGGGCGAAACCCAGAUCCAGCCAUGCCGCGUGCAGGAUGAAAGCCUUCGGGUUGUAAACUGCUUUUGUACGGAACGAAAAGGUUUGGCCUAAUAAGCUGAGCUCAUGACGGUACCGUAAGAAUAAGCACCGGCUAACUACGUGCCAGCCGCCGCGUAAA
rnacentral:rRNA from 1 species